rnacentral:rRNA from 14 species
UUUGUGGGGUGCUCGAGUGGCGAACGGGUGAGUAACACGUGAGUAACCUGCCCUUGACUUUGGGAUAACUUCAGGAAACUGGGGCUAAUACCGGAUAGGAGCUCCUGCUGCAUGGUGGGGGUUGGAAAGUUUCGGCGGUUGGGGAUGGACUCGCGGCUUAUCAGCUUGUUGGUGGGGUAGUGGCUUACCAAGGCUUUGACGGGUAGCCGGCCUGAGAGGGUGGACGGUCACACUGGGACUGAGACACGGCC